rnacentral:rRNA from 1 species
UGGGGAAUAUUGGACAAUGGGCGAAAGCCUGAUCCAGCCAUGCCGCGUGUGUGAAGAAGGUCUUCGGAUUGUAAAGCACUUUAAGUUGGGAGGAAGGGCAGUAAGCGAAUACCUUGCUGUUUUGACGUUACCGACAGAAUAAGCACCGGCUCACUCUGUGCCAGCAGCCGCGGUAAUACAGAGGGUGCAAGCGUUAAUCGGAAUUACUGGGCGUAAAGCGCGCGUAGGUGGUUCGUUAAGUUGAAUGUGAAAGCCCCGGGCUCAACCUGGGAACUGCAUCCAAAACUGGCGAGCUAGAGUAGGGCAGAGGGUGGUGGAAUUUCCUGUGUAGCGGUGAAAUGCGUAGAUAUAGGAAGGAACACCAGUGGCGAAGGCGACCACCUGGGCUCAUACUGACACUGAGGUGCGAAAGCGUGGGGAGCAAACAGG